rnacentral:rRNA from 1 species
GGACAACAGUUGGAAACGACUGCUAAUACCGCAUAAUGUCUACGGACCAAAGGGGGCUUCGGCUCUCGCCUUUAGAUUGGCCCAAGUGGGAUUAGCUAGUUGGUGAGGUAAUGGCUCACCAAGGCGACGAUCCCUAGCUGGUUUGAGAGGAUGAUCAGCCACACUGGGACUGAGACACGGCCCAGACUCCUACGGGAGGCAGCAGUGGGGAAUAUUGCACAAUGGGCGCAAGCCUGAUGCAGCCAUGCCGCGUGUGUGAAGAAGGCCUUCGGGUUGUAAAGCACUUUCAGUCAGGAGGAAAGGUUAGUAGUUAAUACCUGCUAGCUGUGACGUUACUGACAGAAGAAGCACCGGCUAACUCCGUGCCAGCAGCCGCGGUAAUACGGAGGGUGCGAGCGUUAAUCGGAAUUACUGGGCGUAAAGCGUACGCAGGCGGUUUGUUAAGCGAGAUGUGAAAGCCCCGGGCUCAACCUGGGAACUGCAUUUCGAACUGGCAAACUAGAGUGUGAUAGAGGGUGGUAGAAUUUCAGGUGUAGCGGUGAAAUGCGUAGAGAUCUGAAGGAAUACCGAUGGCGAAGGCAGCCACCUGGGUCAACACUGACGCUCAUGUACGAAAGCGUGGGGAGCAAACGGGAUUAGAUACCCCGGUAGUCCACGCCGUAAACG